UGAAGGUUUUUUUAAUGGGGAUUAUUCGACUGGUGAUGACUGUGUAUAGUUGUGGCCAUCAUAAAAUUGCUGCAGACGGUGAGAAAAAGCGAAGAACUGUAGUCACAGAAAAACAGAAAGAAAGCUGAUCUAUUGCAAGUACGAUAUGUACUAAAAUUAAUAUGAAUCGGAAUUAAUUGAUCCUGUAAUAUUCUCUGCCAGCAGACAGGUCUGUGAAAGCAUAAUCUGUCGAGAUAUGAUGAUCUGGAAGCCAGGCAAACUUCAAAGCCACAAAAUAGAAGAGCUUUGUUUGAUGUUGAACUGUACCUCAGUCCUCACCGUGCACAAAUCCUUUGUCUCAACUUCGUUAGAUAUCCUUCAUCGUGGUUGCACGUUUCAUCUCAGCUAUCCCUAUUGGACGAUUACUUCAUUAUACGAAAAUACAAUGAGCUCAAUCACCGUGACCGUGCACAAAUUAACAUAAACUUAAAACAUAACACAAUGACUUCAGUUUAGUUUCCAGAUCCAUCAUAUCUUGAUUGACUUUGGUGAAAGAGCAUAAAAGCAAAUUCAGAAUUAAAUAUCAAUGAAGAGUUUUUAUUGAAAAACUUUUCAAACUACUUCUUCUUAAAUUUAGGUUUGUGCCACGUCUUUGAAAUUACACAUUCAGAGGUGCAUCUGUAUUCCAGAUGACAUUGUGUACUAAAUAUUUGCCAUCGACCUUUUUCCAAACUGUCAAUGCC